UCUACUGAAAAUCUUGUUUGCCGUAGAAGCCGAAAUAAGAGUGUACAAAAUUUAGAUGAUGGCCACAGACUAAAAACAAACAAACAAAACAAUUUUGGAUUAAUGAAUUGAAUAUAAAUAAACACCUAUACGAUAUUGGUUAUAAACGUGUGCACAUUACCCAGGUAACUAUUUUGGCGAAAGGAAGACAGUAACACACUGAAUGGUAGUUGUCACACAACUGACUGGCGGUACACGGACGAUAGCCGGACAAGGCUCAGUUUUUGGUCAAUUCCAUGUUCUGGGUGGUUCGGCGGAUUACUUUGCUAUAUAUGUGCGACUGUUAUAGUGCGUUGUGUGGUUCGUCCACGGUGGGGAACGAGAUUUCGAGCAGAGUGAAGAAUAUAUUGUAUUGAUUUUAAAAUUAUGAGGAUUCAUACUAUCUAUAUUUUAUAUUUUUAUGUUCAUUAUUACUCAAAAACUAUAACCAAAAUGCAAUAAGCUGUAUUUCGUUUUACAUAAACGUAUAGAGGUAAUUAAAGUUAAUUGUUAUUAAGAUUGUAGU